UUCACCAUGUUAGCCAGGAUGGUCUUGAUCUCCUGGCUGCGUGAUCCUCCCACCUUGGCCUCCCAAAGUGCUGGGAUUAGAGGUGUGAUCCACCACGUCCAGCCUAAAAAAUUUUUAAAGACUUUCUGGAACUAUGGGUAAUAAAUUUGCUUUGAGAGGGUCCAGACAUACUCAUCCUGAACCACAUUCCUACAACAGGUGUCCAACAACUUGCACCAGAGUACUUAUAUCUUAACCAAAAAGUUUCACUUGAUGGGGCUUUACCAAAUCUUCAGAAUGCUUUCACGUAUAUUGCCUCAUUUGAGCUUCAAAUAACCUUAUAAAUCAGGCAGGUAGAUGUUAGUUUACAGAGAAGGAGAUAGCUUUGGAAUAGGGGUAACGUAUCUGAAGGUCAGAAAACUCGCAGAAUAGUGCUCAAUGCCUAAAGUGGUGCCUGGCGCCAGCAGAUGUUCAGUUCUAUCAAACAAGGGGAAAUAGUGAAUGGUGGAGCCUUUAUUCAGGCCCAGGUUUCCUUGUUCCUAACUCUUCUCCAAGAUGCAGAGGGAAAACAAACUGCUAAAUUAAGAGUUCUUCCAUGGACACUUUCUUAAGCCUUCAAAUAAAGUAAUUUCGGAUACUCUUUCUUAAUUUCAGAUAUUAUCCUGAAUUUUUCUUGGCAGAUAGAUGUAUUAAAGAAAAAACUUUCCAAUGUUAGUUCUAGUAGUGCUGUUUCAAAAGUUAUAAUGGUUGGUCUUCAAAAGGUAAUUAAGACCUUAUCAUAAAGAGCCUUAUGCACAGGACUAUCUCAAACCCUAAGAAGCUUAUUCAUAUUUAAGAAAAUUGUGUUGUAUUAAAUAUUAGUCCAAGUGAGCUCUAGAAAUACAGUCUUCUGCUUUCUUGUUUCAUAAAUGACAUUGGUAUGUAUACCGCUCCCCAUGACUCAGAUAUUAAUAUAUACAAUUGUGUUAUGGUAAAGUUUUCACUACGGUCAACUUAUUCCAGCAUUAGGUACUUUUUUUUUUUUUUUUGAAAUGGAGUUUUGCUCUUGUUGCCCAGACUGGAGUGCAGUGGCACCAUCUCAUCUCACUGCAGCCUCCACCUCCUGGGUUCAAGCAAUUCUUCUGCCUCAGCCUCCUGAGUAGCUGGGAUUACAGGUGCCCGCUACCAUGCCUGGCUAAUUUUUUGUAGUUUUAGUAGAGAUGGGGUUUCAACAUGUUGGCCAUGCUGGUCUCAAACUCGUGACCUCUGGUGAUCCGCCUGCCUUGGCCUCCCAAAGUGCUGGGAUUACAGGCAUGAGUCACUGCGCCCAGCGAACUAGGUACUAUUUAAAGGAAUUAAGCAGAAUGCUACGUACCAACGAUUAUGAUUCAUGAUCAUCUAAACACAGAAUGCAAACUUUUCAUUCUUAGUGUGCUAAGUAGUAUUAUGGUGCAGUAAGGAAUAUGUUAAUUUUCUUAUAAAAUCCCUCUUUUGAAAUCCAUAAGGAAAUGUACAUCAGCUUAAGAAAGUGAUAAUAGUGUCAUAUUUUAAAAGUAGAAUUCACUGUUAGUCUCCAAGAUUACCUUUUCUUCUCCUGUGGCACAGUUUAUUUAAAUGGAGUAUUAACAAUAAUCAUGUCACUAUUUUGUCCUGAAUAGUUAAGAGUUUGCUUUUCUCCCAUUUCUUUGCAAUCGAAUAAAUAAAGAAUAGUAUUAAAAGUCAGAGGCUUUACUAACCUACCUAUUUGUAUUCCGGGACUAACAAACCCUGGCCCCUUCACAUAUGAGCCCUGCAGGUUUGCCUGCCUGCCUCUGGCUUGCGGAAGGCUGCCCCAGUCACAGAGCCUGGGUGAGGUGGAACAGGAGACAACCCCACACGGCUUUUCUGAUUGUACCCCACCCGUUUCUGAGUGUGUUGGUUUGGUUUCAUUUUUUUCAAAGGUUGGGGUUGAAAAGUGAAAACCUUAGACACAUUGUGGAAUGUUUGCCUGGUUGUUUUGGUGUAUGCCUCUUCACUGACAUGUCCCUUUCAAGUGUACCAAAGGACAUUUUGUUCUGUUAAAGCCCCAGGACCAAAAGGAAAGUAUUGCAAGCAUUUGCAAACUUUCCUACCUAUAUAAGCCGCCAUAAUACUAAAAAGCACUAAACAAGCACAAACAAACACUAAACAGCCUUAUACCAAAAAGCAUUCUUGUAACUGUCAGGGCAUCGUAUGAGUUCCUUCCUCUUUAAGCAGUAAUCUACAGGCCCGGUGGCUUUCAGUAAUAUAGAAUUAAGCAAUAGUUAUUCUUUAAUGUUGAAAACUUGAGUGAGUAAUAUGGACACAGUUUACUACCUUUUGCUUUUAAUAUACUUGGUUGUGCAUUUCUGUUUGAAAUAAAAUGAAAGGAGACCUCAUAAACUGAUGCUGAGAAGUAGAAAAAAUCAACUCUCAGAUUUAAAUGUGCCCAAUUUAAAUAGUUUUCUUUUCCUCCCCCCCCCCCCCCCCCGUUUUUUUUAAAGAGACAGGGUUUUGCCCUGUCGCCCAGGCUAGAGUGCAGCAGUGACGUGAUCAUAGCUCACUGCAUCCUGGAACUCCUGGGCUCAGGAGAUCCUCCUGCUUCAGCCUCCUGAGCAGCUAAGACCACAGGUGUGUGCCACUACUCCUGGCUAAUUUUUUUGUAGAGAUGGGGUCUUGCCAUGUUGCCGAGAUUGGUCUCAAACUCUUGGCUUCAAGCCACCAUCCUCCUAAAGUGCUGGGAUCACAAGCCUGAGCCACCACUCCUGGCCUGUUACUCCUUUAUCUAAUGUGUGCUAAGAUCAUGAAAAAUAUAUGUUGAGGUAAAUAGGGCAAAACAUUAGUGAUAAAUUAUGCUAAUUAAUGGGAAAAGUAGAUAUUCCUCUAAAAUUUAUUCCUCUGAAAAUUUAAAAGGACUCUGCCAUGCAACUGUCUUCUGUUUUUGGAAUUUGUAGUCAUUCUUCUUAGUGUCACUGGAAACAUACUCAUUCUUUGAGUAUGUACAGGAUGGGCUACCUUUUGUAUUUAUUAUACUUUUCAAAAUGCUAACACGUUUUGUUUAGUUGAAAUAUAUUGUUCAUGCAUGCCUGUGAUAUUCAUCAUCAAAAAAUACCUGUAAAAAAAAACUACCACUUCCUCUCCACACCUUAGGCCUCCCUCUUACUAAAAACAAUAGUAGUUUCUGUAGAAGUUUCAGUGAGAGAUUGGUUUACAUAAACAGACAUGGCAGAACAAUUUUGUUGUCGUUUUUUCCCCUAGCAUUUCUCAUAAUAGCUCAGUUUUCAAAGGAGGGGAACAGUACCUUAGUGAGUUCAAAUUAAUUUUUUCUAUUUUGAGGUAUACCUUCCUAAUUAUAUUUUCAUAGGCUUUUUUUUUUUUUUACAUUUGAAUUCUUACUGCUAAGGUGCAUUGAGAAACGGUUUAGAAAUGUUGCACUUGUCAUUUCUUUUCAUGUGGACUAUGAACAAAUGAAAGUUUGCUGUGUGAUUACAGUUUCAAGUUAUAACAUUUCAUAAAUAUGUCCGUUUUAGAAGCUCCCAUCUUUUGUAUGGAUAAAAUUUAUGGUUUUAUUUCUCACAAUAGAAUUGGUCUACUAUGCUGACUUCAUGUCUGUCAUUCCAAAGGCUUGAUUAUGUUUUUUUCUCCAGUGAUUAAAAAUGCAGUGAAAAUCCAAUUUACAAGUUCAUAUAUUGAUGUAUCUAGACAUAAUCUAGUUCUAAAAAAAUGUACUUGGUGUGCAUUUUUAAGUGUUUCAUGUAAACAGAUUAAUAUAUUUUUGUACGUUGUAUUUCUACAUUUAUUUCAAGACUGUACUUUUCAGUGACUUUUUCAAGUACAUGUGUUAACAGAAGAUUGUUUGGAAUGAGUGUGCAGUGGCCUUCUUUACUGGUCAAGAGCAGUGUAAUACUGUACAAGUGAUCAUAGAAGGUGAGAAUGUGUUUAUACUGUACCUGGAAACCUAAUGCCUCUUUUCUAAAGCUUUGUACAUUUUUUUCAUGAAAUAGAUUAAAUAUUUUCUCUCUAAAACUG